GACGAACGCUGGCGGCGUGCCUAAUACAUGCAAGUCGAACGCAGUGGGGACGGGUGAGUAACACGUGGGUAACCUCCCAUCAGAGGGGAUAACACUUGGAAACAGGUGCUAAACCGAUACUGAUGGAUGGACCCGUGGUGCAUUAGCUAGUUGGUGAGGUAACGGCUCACCAAGGCCACGAUGCAUAGGGGAGCUGCGAGGCUGAUCGGCCACACUGGGACUGAGACACGGCCAAGACUCCUACGGGAGGAAGCAGUAGGGAAUCUUCGUCAAUGGACGAAAGUCUGACCGAGCAACGCCGAGUGAGUGAAGAAGGUUUUCGGAUCGUAAAACUCUGUUGUUAGGGAAGCGGGAGCGAACAAGAAAGCCACGGCUAACUACGUGCCAGCAGCCGCGGUAAUAC
rnacentral:rRNA from 1 species